rnacentral:rRNA from 1 species
AGGCAGCAGUGGGGAAUAUUGCACAAUGGGCGCAAGCCUGAUGCAGCCAUGCCGCGUGUGUGAAGAAGGCCUUCGGGUUGUAAAGCACUUUCAGUUGUGAGGAAGGUGGUGUCGUUAAUAGCGGCAUCAUUUGACGUUAGCAACAGAAGAAGCACCGGCUAACUCCGUGCCAGCAGCCGCGGUAAUACGGAGGGUGCGAGCGUUAAUCGGAAUUACUGGGCGUAAAGCGCAUGCAGGUGGUUUGUUAAGUCAGAUGUGAAAGCCCGGGGCUCAACCUCGGAACUGCAUUUGAAACUGGCAGACUAGAGUACUGUAGAGGGGGGUAGAAUUUCAGGUGUAGCGGUGAAAUGCGUAGAGAUCUGAAGGAAUACCGGUGGCGAAGGCGGCCCCCUGGACAGAUACUGACACUCAGAUGCGAAAGCGUGGGGAGCAAACAGGAUUAGAUACCCUGGUAGUCCACGCUGUAAACGAUGUCUACUUGGAGGUUGUGGCCUUGAGCCGUGGCUUUCGGAGCUAACGCGUUAAGUAGACCGCCUGGGGAGUACGGUCGCAAGAUUAAAACUCAAAUGAAUUGACGGGGGCCCGCACAAGCGGUGGAGCAUGUGGUUUAAUUCGAUGCAACGCGAAGAACCUUACCUACUCUUGACAUCCAGAGAAGCCAGCGGAGACGCAGGUGUGCCUUCGGGAACUCUGAGACAGGUGCUGCAUGGCUGUCGUCAGCUCGUGUUGUGAAAUGUUGGGUUAAGUCCCGCAACGAGCGCAACCCUUAUCCUUGUUUGCCAGCGAGUAAUGUCGGGAACUCCAGGGAGACUGCCGGUGAUAAACCGGAGGAAGGUGGGGACGACGUCAAGUCAUCAUGGCCCUUACGAGUAGGGCUACACACGUGCUACAAUGGCGCAUACAGAGGGCGGCCAACUUGCGAAAGUGAGCGAAUCCCAAAAAGUGCGUCGUAGUCCGGAUUGGAGUCUGCAACUCGACUCCAUGAAGUCGGAAUCGCUAGUAAUCGUGGAUCAGAAUGCCACGGUGAAUACGUUCCCGGGCCUUGUACACACCGCCCGUCACACCAUGGGAGUGGGCUGCAAAAGAAGUGGGUAGUUUAACCUUCGGGAGGACGCUCACCACUUUGUGGUUCAUGACUGGGGUGAAGUCGUAACAAGGUAGCGCUAGGGGAACCUGGCGCUGGAUCACCUCCUUAUACGAUGAU